GGCAGUGUAGUAUAGUGGUAAGAAGUAGGACUCAUAACCUAAAGGUUGUCAGUUCAAUUCCCCACUGCAG